GAUGAACGCUGGCGGCGUGCCUAAUACAUGCAAGUCGAACGCACAGCGAAAGGUGCUUGCACCUUUCAAGUGAGUGGCGAACGGGUGAGUAACACGUGGACGACCUGCCUCAAGGCUGGGGAUAACAUUUGGAAACAGAUGCUAAUACCGAAUAAAACUCAGUGUCGCAUGACACAAAGUUAAAAGGCGCUUUGGCGUCACCUAGAGAUGGAUCCGCGGUGCAUUAGUUAGUUGGUGGGGUAAAGGCCUACCAAGACAAUGAUGCAUAGCCGAGUUGAGAGACUGAUCGGCCACAUUGGGACUGAGACACGGCCCAAACUCCUACGGGAGGCUGCAGUAGGGAAUCUUCCACAAUGGGCGAAAGCCUGAUGGAGCAACGCCGCGUGUGUGAUGAAGGCUUUUGGGUCGUAAAGCACUGUUGUAUGGGAAGAACAGCUAGAAUAGGGAAUGAUUUUAGUUUGACGGUACCAUACCAGAAAGGGACGGCUAAAUACGUGCCAGCAGCCGCGGUAA
rnacentral:rRNA from 1 species